UCCUGGUUUCCCAGGCAGUCCCAUCAGAGUGCUCCCGAAGGAUAGCAACUGACAGCGAGAGUUGCGCUCGUUAGAGGACUUAACCGAACAUCUCACGACACGAGCUGACGACAGCCAUGCAGCACCUGUGUAAUCGUCUGGAUCAAAGACCCAGAAAGCUGUGUUUCUACAGCGGUCGAAAACAUGUCAAGCCUAGGUAAGGUUCUUCGCGUUGCGUCGAAUUAAACCACAUGCUCCACCGCUUGUGCGGGCCCCCGUCAAUUCCUUUGAGUUUCAACCUUGCGGUCGUACUCCCCAGGCGGGGUACUUCCUGCGUUAGCGCCGGCACCCAGAGGGUCGCUCCCCCAGGCACCUAGUACCCAUCGUUUACGGCGUGGACUAC
rnacentral:misc_RNA from 1 species